GAGCUGGCACCCACAACAGCAAUUUCUACCUCCUAGAAUUAGUAAGGUAAAGGUAAAGGACCCCUGACCAUUAGGUCCAGUCGUGGCCGACUCUGGGGUUGCGGCGCUCGUCUCGCUUUACUGUCCGAGGGAGCCGGAUUACAACUUCCGGGUCACGUGGCCAGCAUGACUAAGCCGCUUCUGGAGAACCAGAGCAGCGCACGGAAACGCCGUUCACCUUCCCACCGGAGUGGUACCUAUUUAUCUACUUGCACUUUGACGUGCUUUCGAACUGCUAGGUUGGCAGGAGCAGGGACCGAGAAACGGGAGCUCACCCCGUCGCGGGGAUUCGAACUGCUGACCUUCUGAUCGGCAAGUCCUAAGCUCUGUGGUUUAACCCACAGCACCACCUGCAUCCCCCUAGAAUUAGUGGUAAGCUGCAAAUUGCUUCAAGUUCCUUUCUUUCUUCUCCAAAGUCCCCUGUCCACACUUUCUCUCCCCCUCCCUCUUUCUGUGUGUAUUGACUCUGAAUUUUCUUCAGGACCCCCCCCCCCCCACACACACACAACUUCUGAGGUUGUGUGAAUAAUAGUGAGAAUUGGGGUUUUCUACAGCGGUGUCCUUGCCUACUUCACCUGCUUCCUCCUUUUAAUAUUAAUAUUAGUCAUUUUUUUCUGUUUUAGUGCAUGUGUGUGACUGUUUUAAAACUUACGUGCUUCACAUUCCUUGUGUGCAAUAACGUAUGCCAGGAUGGUAUACAAAUAGAUUAAAGAAACCAUUGAUUAGAAUAGCUGAGCAUUUUUUUCUUCAUACAAGAAAAUGUGGAAAUAACUGACUUUAAAAGGUAGGGAUAGCCACCUGUUUAUUUACCAUAUUUUUCUGUGUAUAAGACGCCCCAUGUAUAAGAUGCCCCCUAUUUUAAGGGAGUCCAAUUUAAGAAAUAUAGGGGGGAGAUUGCCUCGUGUAUAAGACAACCCACAGUUUUUCACAUAAUUGUUAAGUAAAAAAACCUACACAGAAAAGUACGGUAUUUAUCUUAAUCAAGUUAAUGGAAUAAUUUAGAGAGGUCUGUCAGCACCUGUUAGCCACUGUAGCUAAACAGAAUGUCACAUGUGAUAUCUAAGGGGCUUGUCCACACUUCUGUUUGUGCCGUGUUUAGAGAGCAGGAGUCUGAAUGGUUUUUCCCCCUUUCCAAAACUGCUCUUUAGCAGUAGAUCGGAACAAAUGGCAAGCCAAAUUGAGUUGAGCGCUAAAGAACAGUUUUUAGUUUUUAGUCCCACUGGAUAAGCUGGAAGUCAUACUCAGAGUAUACCAAUGGACUUCCAUGAGUCUACCCUAACACUGAAUCUUAGCCCUUUUCUCUAAAUACAGAUGAAAUCACUGCCCUUUAUGCCCUUUUUGAGAGCUUGUCGGCACCUAGACAGGUCUUUGGCUGGAUCCAGCAAAGCAAUUACUUAUGGGGCUUCGGUGAGUGAAAAACUUGUCCCGUUUGCCCUUCUUUCUUUUGCAUUUUGAUAUAUGCUUGUUUUACGACUCCAGCCUUACCAAUGUAAAGGAAAAUAUUUUGUGUGGGUGCAUUUACUCUCUGGCAUCACUACAGAAAAUGCAUCAACUCUUAAUGUAAUGUAACGUCACUACACUUUGAAUUGCAGUCUAUAAAAGCUUACACCACUC